CAAAAGGGCUACAAUUUGUGGCACAUGCAGGGCAGAUCAUUUGCUUUGUAUGUGGAAUCAACAUCAAGAGAUUUAAAAAGCACCAUUUUUACUACUUGAACAUCUGGUGAUCAAUGGUCCUGUUGGUUCG